GGCUAGGCCAGUUGCCGUGUGAAGAAAGCAGGUCAAGAAUGAGCUAUUAUUGAAUGGCCUCCAUCAAAGAAGCCUUUGAAAAAAUCAAGUGGGCCAUACCUCAGUUAUUUGAAAGUCAAAAGACUGCGGUAUACUGCAGCAGCCCAGAUGGCAUUUAGUGAUAGCAAUGAUUUCAUCUUGCCAAGGUUUAUUGUGACACCAAUUUCAGCAAUUCAAAAGUUGGAUGCUCUCUACCAUCAAGAGACAUUAUUUGGAAGACUGAGGACAAGAUAGUCCAUAUUCUCAAAACACAAAAGUCCUGGUAACAGUUGUUUGAGUGUGCGUGUGAAGUGCAAAGACUCAUCGGGCUCGCACCUGUUCACCUUCAGGGACUGCCAAUGUCUCCUCCACGUGGCUCACCAGUCAUCACAGAAAACAAGGGUGUGUGUCUCCGGCAUAAAACUCCAGGUUGAAGCUCAGCACAUAAUGACAAGGUAUACAAAGUGGAUGUGACCAUUAUGCUUCAUGCUGUAGACAGAGAAAUGGAUGGGAGGGCAGGAGACUUACUGAUGUCGUGCAUAAAUGAUUUUGUUGCCAACACCCACAACUCAUUCACAUCACCUUCUACACCAACCAAUAUACAGAAAAUCUGAGCUCCCCUAGCAAAAGAGACCCAAGAGAGCAUCAAGGUCGUCAACCUACUGCAGACUGGAGUUAUAUUUGGCUUAUGUCACAAGGCUGACUGUUUCCAUGGAACUCAUUUUGCUUCCUUACCCUACCUACAUUUUGAUCAACUGACAGCAGAUCAAUUGCAUCUGAAAUAACACUGUUCUGACAUCCGACAGCAGCUUCGUCAAAAACGUACUGAACCGCUUGGAAUGAGACCAACUUUAGUCAUUAACACAUAUUUAAUGUGUGCUUGGACAUUUAGUAGUGAACAGUUUAGUUCUUAACAUUAUCGAAAUAAGCCUGUUGACAUUUUGAACUUUCAAUUCUCUGCAUAUCCUUCAUGAAAAUGUUUUAUGCCUAGAAAUAUCUUUAAAUGAACAAUCAAUUUAAAUAACAGCUUCUCACAACAUGAUAUUUUGUUAAGUUUUAGAAAACAUACUACAAAGACACUUCAGUAAUGAAAUUGCUUUCGAAAAAAACAUUUCAUUAGUUUACAGUAGGAAAUAAAUAGGAUUUUCCCCAACAAAGAGAACCGCUUAACCUGAAAAUACAUGCAAUUUAACUUCAAUAACAUUAUUUCUAAAAACUGAAAAUAUUCACUAUCACUAUGUGUUUUGAAAUUUGUUUGUACAAAGCGCUGCAAGUAUAUCAACUUGUAUUGUUCUUUCAAUCGUAUCAUGUUUAUUUAUUUGUUUGCACAUAACUAAACCACUAAUGAUUAAGUUUUGAUUUCAUUUCAUGUUUCUCUUGUCCAAUACAAAUGUUACUCAAUAGAUUAUUAUGAUAGGUAUACUUUCUAGUUCUUCAUGUAGUAUGUGAUAAUUGUCAGCUGCAUCUUUUCAUUCAGGAAAAUCUGUAUCUAAAUUUCUUUGCAAGCCACCAACCCAUUCUUUGCCUCAUAGUUAAUGAUACAUGUAUAUUUUAUGUGGUUGCUGUCAGAACAGGUAUUAAUAUUAAUGAAACCGACAGUCAGUACACAAAAUGCUUAAGGUGAGCUAUUGUGAUCGCCCUGUGUCCGUUGUUCGUCGUCAACAAUUUGACUGUUAACACUCUAGAGGUCACAAUUGGGGCACAAUCUUAAUGAAACUUCGUCAGAAUGUUACCCUUAAUAAAAUCUUGGACGAGUUCGAUAUUGGGUCAUCUGGGGUUAAAAAUAAGUCACCAGGUCAAAUUAAAGGAAAAGCUUGUUAACACUUUAGAGGUCACAUUUAUGACUGUAUCUUCAGGAAACUUGGUCAGAAUUUUAAUAUUAAUAAUCUCUAGGUCAAGUUCGAAUCUGGGUCAUUUGCAGUCAAAAACUAGGUCACCAGGUCAAAUUAAAGGAAAAGCUUGUUUACAAUCUUCAUGAAAGUUGGUCAGAAUGUUUAGAGUCAAGUUUAAAUCUGGAUCAUGUGCGGUCAAAAACUAGGUCACCAGGUCAAAUCAUAGGAAAAGCUUGUUAGCACUCUAGAGGUCAUAUUUAUAACUGUAUGUUCAUGACACUUAGUCAGAAUGUGUAUAUUGAUUAGCUCUAGGCCAAGUUCGAAUCUGGGUCAUGUGCGGUCAAAAACAAGGUCACCAGGUCAAAUUUAAGGAAAAUCUUAUUAACACUGUAGAGGUCACCUUUAUAACUGUAUAUUCAUGAAAGUUGGUAAGAAUGUUCAUAUUAAUAAUCUCUAAGUCAAGUUUGAAUCCGGGUCAUGUGUGGUCAAAAAUCAUAGGAAAAGCUUAUUAGCACUCUAGAGGUCACAUUUAUGACUGUAUGUUUAGUAAACUUAGUCAGAAUGUUUAUAUUGAUUAGCUCCAGGCCAAGUUCGAAUCUGGGUCAUGUGCGGUCAAAAACUAGGUCACCAGGUCAAAUAAUAGGAAAAGCAAGUUAACACUAGAGGCCACAUUUAUGACAAUAUGUUCAUGGAACUUGAUCAGAAUGUUAUUCUUGAUGAUCUUUAGGUAGAGUUUGAAACUGGGUAAUCAGAGGUCAAAAACCAGGCCACUAGGUCAAAUCAUAGAAAAACUUUGUAAACACUGUAGAGGUUACAUUCUCUCUUUGAUCACCAUGAAACUAUGUCAGAAUGUUUGUGUUUAUGAAGUCUAUGUCACACUUGAAUUGGAUCAGGUGAGCGAUACCGGGCCUUCAGGGCCCUCUUGUUAAAAAUAAAUUUUGCAUUUGCUCAAUUGCUAUGGUAAAAUAUUUUUCAAGUUUCAAAAAAUCAAUCUUGUGAUAUAGCUUUCGUGUUGCAUCCACCAUGACCCUAAGCCUUACCUUUUCUUUAACAUCUGGAUAUUCAAGUAAAAACUACCAGAAAUCAUUAUUUUCUGUUUUGUCAAGUCACAAAAAUUAAACAGACAAGGGCUGAUAUCCAAAUGGUACUCAUUGUGUACUGCCAGAAAUGAAUAACUGUAUGUCAAUAACUUGAGCACACCUCACCUGUCAACAGUCAUUAAUUCUUUAAUAAUUACUUCAUUGUUGACAUACAUUCAAGUAAGCCUUCCAUUCAACUGCAAUUAAUCUAAUAAACUCUGGUAUGAUUGUUUGUUAAAAAUGGACUCUUUUCUAGCAGUUGUGAAUUGACUCAUUUUCAAUCCCAUAUAGAUCGAUAAAAAACACCAGAGUUCAAUUGAGUUUUUAGUUUCUUAAUACGCUUCGACAAACCUUUUCACAUUAUGGCCUUCUGACAGAGGCUAGAGCACUGUCAAAACAUUAUUUUGGAAACAGGUUUGUCAUUGAUGAAACAUAUCGCCUUAUCUGCCUUUGGUAAUGGAACGAAGGAGGGGCUCCUUGAGCGGCAUAUACUGUUCUUUGUUUUAUUUACAAUGAUGUAUUGAAAGAAAAGUUAUCUUUGAUUUAAGUCUUCAUUUGAAACAAAAUGUUGUCUCCGACGUAGCAUAUAUCACGUUAUUUAUCACUGUGAUAUACACACACUGUAAAUUAUGCUUUGGUUGAAUUUGUUAAUGUUGUUUUACAAAUUGAACUGGUCUGUGGUUGUUGAGGCAUUGGUCUAUCACAGUGGUCUAUGUGUUUGCCUGUUAUGUUUUGAAUUGUUAUGGAAAUCAUUUUUCCAAUAAAUUC